ensembl:lncRNA
GGCCGAAGUCUACUUUAUACUGUAUGUGACACAGCUUUUAACCUCUGAAAUGCCAUCCUCCUGUGGAUCGCACUGCAAAACUGCUCUUGUUUUUUUUUUCAGUAUUAUUAUGGAAAGGACUAUGGGGAGUACCAGCCUGGCUGGACUGACCUCCCACGUAACAUCACUUCGUUGAUAGUUCCAAUCAAAGUAACACUGUCCACGGGGAAAACAACGUGUGCUGUUUUGGUUUGGUUUGGUUUUUUUUUAGCAUUCCUCUGGUUAUUGUUUUGAAAUCACUGGAGGAAGCAAACAUGUUUUCCAGCAUUGCAUUUUGAUAAAAAAACAGCACUGAAUGAAUGCUUCAUAACAUGCUGCCAGGAAUCCACGCAGUUCUCAACAGAUCAUCCUUUUGGUUUUCAGUAAAGUGCUUAAUCAUCUAAUGUGAAGGAUGGAAUUUAUGCAGCGAGGUGCACUAUUAGAUGCUGAAGCACUCAUGAAUUUCUAUUCAGAUGUGAUUGCUGUAACUAUGAAGAUAGAUCUCUGGCUAAUAUAAAUGUAUUAAAGUCCUGGGGAGAUUUCCUUACCAAGCUAACCAAGGUGGGCUGGAUUUAUACUUGAAGAAAUUCAUUCAUGAUUGCUCAGAUAUUCUGAGUAAAGUAAACCUGUGGAAACUAAGGCUUGAAGAGACUGGGAUAACUACCAUAAAUCAGUAAGUAUGAGUUAUGCCUGAACUGCUUCUGACAGGUAUAUAGGUGCUUGGUUACAAGCUAGGUCAUUAUGGAGGGGGUGAGGGUCCCACAGAAUUCAUCCCAGAGCUUUUAUUUUCUCUUCAACAUGUUCCCUGGAUGUUUAGUUUACACCUUUAGUGUAAGCCCAGUUCACUGUGUGCAUAAAGAACGCUGUACCUCCUUGUUGCUCUGUCUCUGCAACAGCCUUCCUAUAACUAUCAUCUUUCCCCACAGUUGAAAAACUCUUCCUGUUUAAGCUAAAAAUUAUUAUCGCCAACUAUGCUUCACAGACCAACUAUAGUUUUUUAGUUUUCUUCUGGAUCGUAUCACAUCUUGAGGGGUGACUCCUAAGCAGAGCAAAGUAUCCAAGCAGCAGCUUUAAUCGUUUUCAAAGAUAAUCGGCAGUGGCUCCAAGGUAGCUUUGUCUGGCCAGAUACUUCAGAGAGACCGUAUUAGAUUCGUUGAGCUCCAAAAACAAAGAAUUUUAAGAUUUCCUUUCUUGUUUUGAAUUCCAGAGACUAAGCCAGUACCUUUCAGUGAACUCAACAGAUUGAACAAGACAAGUGUAAGUGGUUUUCCAGAUCUACUUUUAUUUGCAUAGUUCUUCCCUGAACGCUUUCCAAACUUCACAUGUCUCAAAUCUAAAUUUGCUGAAUAAAUGUCAAGCAGCUAAAUCCGAGCAAUGCUGCUAAAGGACUUGACUCGCACCCUUCUGGUGACUGGUUACCACGUAGCAAGAAUGUGAUUGCAAUGGAAGCUGAUCUGUAGCCUGAGUGAUGCCAAUACUUGAAACCAUAACAGCAUCAAGAUGAGAGAGUGGAAAAAUGGAUGGUGUUUCUGGAUAGAUGUUCAUCUGGAUGCGUACUCACAAUCCUUACUAGUUUAAGUCUUGGGUGCGCUGCCCUUCUUCCUCCUUUGGCCAAUCCCUCUGUUCUCCCCAACUUGUGAUGUAUUUUAGUUGUCUGCACCACAAGCACUUCUAUGUUUCUCUUGCUGGCAACCUUAAGCAGCAUCUCAAGUUUUCUUACUUUGUAUAAAACAGCCUGCUUCAAGGAAAUCAAAUUAUAAACUUUGUCUUCCUCCUUGAAAAUGUGCCUUUUCUCGCUUCAGUGGGAGAGGUAGAAAGAUGGUGUGCAAAAGGUCUGCAAGAUGAAAACAGGGAAUUACAGCUUUUCUGUUGGUGAACUUCCAGGUUGCUGAGUGCACAGGCCAGCUCCAAAGGCAGUAAAAUUAACCUCCUGCCUGGACACUCAGCAAGGCUAUCAGAGUAAAUCUCAGCUGCUGGAGAGGGCCAAGCAGAAAGCUUCAAGAUAUGUGGUCAGUAGGUGAGGAAUUGAGGUUGCACUGAGAAGUUUCAUCUUAGGCUUAUCGGUAUGGAAGCGUGAAUCAGUUAGUUCAGGCAAAAUGAUUUUUAGCAUGAGAGACCAGAGCUUUAAGGUGGAGUUUUGGAGGAGAAGUUAAUGAUAAAUUUGCAACAAGAGCCAAACUGACAUCAUCCAAUGGAUUUCACUUCAGUAACUGCCUCUGUACACAAUGCACUAUUUAUUCUUUUAUGCUCGUGUUUAGCCUGUGCUUUGAAUUGAAUUCCUUGAAGGUCUUACCAGCAGUUACCUUCAUUUAGCGUGCCCAAACUGUGGUGGGAUGUAGUGAAAAUGCAAUUGCGUUCAGGGAAAAGGAGCAAAUGCUGUAGCCUCCUUGCAGUUGCAAAACAGUAAUGUAAAACCACAGAACAGUUUAACAAAUUAUGUUGUUUCUCUGUAAUGGUGGUGGUUAGUUCAUCAGCCCUUUGCCUUUUUUCUACAUUGGUGCCUGGUAACUCAGCUCUCUACCUGGAGCCAGGUCAUCAACUGGCCGUUAGCUUAGUGUGGAAUGUGAAGCUCUGACAGGUGUCUGCAAGUGAAGCUGCUGUUCUUGGCUGAACUAAAGGAGCAAUUACUUCUUGGAUCUGAUGUCCUCUAUUCUUCUACGUGUAUCUGCUCAGUUCCAGGGAAGAAGAAAAAAAGUCUUGCUGAAACAACCAUCUGUGAGGUUCUUCUCUUUCCAAUUAAAAUGCAUCUGCCUUAAUUCAGAUAUUUUCCUCUUCCAGUUCAGUAAUGCAGCCUCCACGGAAUAGACAUUCUGGCAGGGUAGAGGGGGGUGGGCAUAUCUCAAUGCAGCUCUUAGUUCUGGUCACCUCUGCAGAGCGUCCAUACCCACAGGGGUACAGCACCUUCAGAGUAACGCUUUGGCUGACGCUGAACAUUCAGUAUAGGUGAACCUUCUUGUGCU